GUCUAUGGCCAUGCCACCCUGAACAAGCCCGAUGUCUGAUCUCAGAAGCUAAACAGGGUCGGACCUGGUUAGUACUUGGAUGAGAGACCACCUAGGAAGACCAGGUGCUGUAGGCA
rnacentral:rRNA from 1 species